rnacentral:rRNA from 1 species
GAUGAACGCUGGCGGCGUGCCUAAUACAUGCAAGUCGAGCGAACGGACGAGAAGCUUGCUUCUCUGAUGUUAGCGGCGGACGGGUGAGUAACACGUGGAUAACCUACCUAUAAGACUGGGAUAACUUCGGGAAACCGUAGCUAAUACCGGAUAAUAUUUUGAACCGCAUGGUUCAAAAGUGAAAGACGGUCUUGCUGUCACUUAUAGAUGGAUCCGCGCUGCAUUAGCUAGUUGGUAAGGUAACGGCCUACCAAGGCAACGAUGCAUAGCCGACCUGAGAGGGUGAUCGGCGACACUGGAACGGAGACACGGUCCAGACUCCUGCGGGAGGCAGCAGUAGGGAAUCGUCCGCAAUGGGCGAAAGCCUGACGGAGCAACGCCGCGUGAGUGAUGAAGGUCUUCGGAUCGUAAAACUCUGUUAUUAGGGAAGAACAUAUGUGUAAGUAACUGUGCACAUCUUGACGGUACCUAAUCAGAAAGCCACGGCUAACUACGUG